rnacentral:rRNA from 1 species
GGGGAAUCUUGCGCAAUGGACGAAAGUCUGACGCAGCGACGCCGCGUGAGUGAUGAAGGCCUUCGGGUUGUAAAGCUCUGUGGGGAGAGACGAGUAAGGUGCAGUUAAUAUCUGCAUCGAUGACGGUACCUCCUUAGCAAGCACCGGCUAACUCUGUGCCAGCAGCCGCGGUAAGACAGAGGGUGCAAACGUUGUUCGGAAUCACUGGGCGUAAAGCGUGUGUAGGCUGUCAGAUAAGUCGGAUGUGAAAGCCCCGGGCUCAACCUGGGAAGUGCAUUCGAUACUGUUUGACUUGAGUACUGGAGAGGUUGGUGGAAUUCUCGGUGUAGAGGUGAAAUCCGUAGAUAUCGGGAAGAACAUCUGUGGCGAAGGCGGCCAACUGGACAGAUACUGACGCUGAGACACGAAAGCGUGGGGAGCAAAC